AUGCAGGAGAAGCUCAUGGCAAGGCAUGGCACCGUGGUUGACAGCUUUGAGAAGAAGCAUCGUAGAUAUUUGUUGGAGGCCAUGACUCCAAUGUCAAGUGUUCGCUCCAAAUGGGGAAGUCGUCCAUGUCAAGAUCCCUGUUGGGAAGAGAUGUGGCUAAAUUACUCCUGUCACUGCAUAUUCAGGCCUUCUGCUGAGCAAGCUCUGCAACUGCUGCAUGGGACCUUUUUUGGUGGUCAGAGUGUGAGCCUUUCAUGGGGAAGAAGCCCUUUGAACAAACAAACUCAGGUUAAUUCUUGCGUACAGAACUUCUAUCAUGUCUUGAGUUGUAUAUAUACUAGCGGUAAAGUGGGUAAUAUAUGA
rnacentral:rRNA from 1 species